AGCUCUGUUACUGUAUUGUACACUUAAGCUGAGGUUGCUGCUACUCUUUUAUUUCCAUUUAAGCUGAGGUUGCUGCUACUCUCUUAAAUUGCUCCCAGCUUGUGUUGAAAAUAUUUGUUUCUUCAAAUUUCAUUGUUAUUAUUGUUUCUUUGAAUAUGUUGAUAGUUGACAGUUGACAGUUUCACUCCGUCUCUUUGGAUUAAUAUGUUUAUGUUCAUGUUUAAUAGGUGGGAGAUGUUGUACUUGUUGAGGAUGAGAUUGUGAUGGAAGAUGAUAUUAAGUUGAUUGGACUGCAGGCAUUGGUAUGUGCUGUUGCUUAUGGUCCGCGGUGGAUUCAUAUUUAUGAAUCUGAGACAAUUUUCAUUCGCUCACAACUGAGAGAAGUUCCUCUAGAGAAUGUGUUGCUAAUAUGUGUUCUUUGAAUCAAUUCUGCUGAAUUCAUUUGCAACUGUGAGUUUUUAUAGACAAAAACACAAUCUUUAUUUGUUGUUUGGAUGCCCCUUAGCUGUCUUGUAUUUUCUAUGAUCCCCUACUGCAUUUUCACUAGUUUUUAUGUAGUUUAGGUUUGCAGUUUCAAGUUUUAACUUGCUAUCUGUUAACUUUAGUAAUAAAUUAUCUCUGCUAGGUAGGAUACACUGUUACAACUCGAAGACGUCAAACUAUUGGCAAGGUGCACUAUGUUGUUCUUUAUAGUCUUGCCAAGAUUAAUGUUGGAUAUCUUUGACAUUUCCAUAGUUGUUUCGCUUUUAGGUGCGUGGCUACACCUUUAGUAUCAGUUCAGGCACGUUGGAAUCACUUGAGCUCGACUCAUUUGGAAUUUCCAUUAUCCCCUCGAGUUUGGUAGGUUUAUUUUUGUAGGUUUAGAUGUAUGACUUUAGUUGCUUAUAUGUCUCAUUCCACGAAUCAUGUGUUGAUGGUUAAAGUUCCAUGUUCAUUUAGCAAACAAAGCAGGUUGUUGGAUUAAACCCUGUUAAAGAAACCUUUGCCUUUUCAAUCACAUGAUCUUCUAGGCAAAAAGAGGCAACAAUUUUUAUGUUGGAUGCUGAUUCAGAAGCAAGGGAAACCAGUUCUGAAUAAGCAGCAUUAAAAGUCCUUUUGCAGACUUGGCUUGCAAUAUAGCCCACCGAUAAAGUGGCAGGGCAUCACCUUGGCUUGCAAUUAAUGUUGUUCAUCUUAAUCAAUUAUGUAAAUUUUUGGUGCAGAACUAUUGGGAAAGAUUUUUGUCCAAUCGGGAUUCUUGGACAUUUGCAGGCUCUGCUAGCUGCUCUUGCUAUUAUGUCGGAUCUUAUGUUCGACUUCUUGGGAAGGUGCAGUAACGAAGCCCUCAAGGAAGAGAUGAAAGAGAAAAGAAGGGCUCAGAUUACUUUCAUGAGGAAGAAGGAUUUCAGGAAAGAGCAACUAGUUCUUGAGGAGUUAGUGCUAGAAUACAUAGUAUGAUAGAUUUUCGUUUUAGCUAUAAGAUAGUUGGUACUUUUAAUUUUGAAUCGAAUAUGCAAUAAUGAUGUAUACUUGAUACUUGGUUCAUUUGGAUGGUAAUGUAUGAAUAUUUUGGAUGAUAUAUAAAAUUGUUAUUGUUGAUUUUA